rnacentral:lncRNA from 1 species
AACUACAGGCUUCAUGUGCAACAGUUUAUAACAUUAUCCUAAAUUGCAAUUAGCAGAACUGUAUAAUAUGAUACUACUCGAGAAACAUCACCCAAAAUCAUAGACAAAUAAUACGGGAAGCAUGUAAAGAAGAAGAAAAUACUUAACUCAAGCAGAAUGAUAAAAUAGGAGACGCGCUUACCUAAUUGAAAGCGAAAUACCGAAACAAGCCCAAAUAAAGUGAAAUCAGCAAGUGUAAAGCAGAAUGAUAAAAUAGGAGACGAACUUACCUAAUUGAAAGCGAAAUACCGAAACAAGCCCGAAUAAAGUGAAAUCAGCAAGUGUAACUCCAACAACAAUUUCCACAGCAAUAAUUAUUCAUGAAUAUGCCUCUCAAUACAAUCUCAAAGCCAAACAGACAGCAAACUCAGACCAAAUUGGACCCGCGAAUCUCAACAGCAAACUCGACGGCUAAUCUGGAGCUCAAAAAGAAGGAAACAACGAACGAAUUCCAACAAUGCGAAUUGAAAUAGUAGCUCCAAAUCUCGUCGGCGACAAACUCGGACCUCGACGACACAAUAGAAUUUGGACCGACUUCUUCGAACUCCUUUUGGUAGAGAAGAAGCUGGAUUUUGGGGGUAUUUUGGAGUGAGUUUUUAGCUGGGUUUGGGGCUGGUUUUGGUUGAUUUUUAGAGGUAUUUUACUGCUGGUUCACGGAAGGAGGAGAUGGCCCUUCUCAUUCUUGCUCAAGGGGUUGUUCGUUUUGUUUUUCAUGAACCACAGCUGAAGAGGAGUUCUUCUGUUGAAGAAGAACGAUGUGGGGUAGGGGGUUCUCUUUUGGCAAAGCUGCGCAACUUUUGUAUUAGGGUGUAGGGUCUAUA